GACUAGCCCUGAUGGAAGCGGCAUCCUUUUUCUUGCUAUUCUGACGAAAGGAAGAAUAGCAAGAAAAAGAUAUAGCGUACAGCAGGAAUUAGC
rnacentral:sRNA from 1 species